CAGGUUGCCGUAGCAGCGGUCGGACACGAAGCUCUUUGCUCGACUUUCGAAUACUCCCCACUCACCCUGAAUUCACCACCUUGCCGCCUCCUGACUGUUCCAUCCCUACGAUGGCGACGCCCAGCGUCGAUUCGUGCGCAUUUUCAUCCCCAGCUCGGAGAUUCGUUCUUCUAUGGACGCCUGUGCGCUUAUCGAAUGAAAAUUGUUGUGUGAUAAAUCAGUGUAUCAAUAUAAAAUUAGUGUUCUGUUGAGGAUACUUUUAUAAGCAAUUAUUGGUACAUCUUCUUGAAAAAAAAACCGGAUCGCAUAAAAUGGUGUUGAAGGGGGCAGGAGGAGGAGAGAAAGGGGCGCAGGGGAAGAAACACGAGGGGGAGAAGAAUGGAGCUGUGAAGCGGCCAAGGGAGUGAGGAGGAAGGGAAAGAUGCCGGCUGGUAAGCAGAUGGUUGCCCCGUUUAUUGGUUUAUUCGUUGAUUCAGCCAUGACGUUCCGUCCGGCCAUGAAAUAAACCGGAGACUCUCCUUGUGUUAGAGAGUAUCAAGCAACAAGGCUACAACUGCUAUUCCUAUUAAAACGCAUCCGCGAGCUACUUUUAUUCGCGUGAUUAUUUGAAAUUUCGCAACCGGUUAUUGUUUCUGACGUGAUGAAUUUAUAUACUGUACAUCUAUAAGAGGUAAAAGACUAUAAAUUCUGUAAGUAAUGAAAGAAUCUUUCAAAUUGGUGCCUAUUAAACAUAUAUUUUAUUGUUUUUCUAUCUGUUACAGAAAUAAUAUUAUGCUAAUAAAUACUUCUCCACACAUUACAUUUGCUGCCAUUGUGCAUAAGCAAUAUUUUAUUAUAAAAGUAAUUUAACAUAAAACUUCUUUUCAUUCAUAUAUUUAAAGAAACAAAGAAAAAUAAAUAAUUAAUUGUUUUGAGUAAAUUUUGAAUAAAUUUAGAGUAUAUUGUUUUUCUUUAUUUAUGCAACUUAUUUCUAACAUGUAUAUGUAUCUUUAAAAAUAUCUGACUCUUUAUUAUCCUAAUUUAUUUAAUAGUUAAUUAGAAACUUUGAAUGGAAUUAGUAUAAUAAAUUUUUCUAUACCAAAAAUAUGCACAAUAGCAAGGGAAUAACAGCGAUUUUGGUGGGCGAGAGCUCUGCCGCGGGGUGCAAAUGUACGCGUUAUAUAGAUGAUAUUCAGUAAUGGCGUCCUGGGGGCGGACGAAAUGCUCGGGUCGAUAGAAGGAAGGUUGCUUGCCUACGAAACUCAAAUACACUCUCGUCUUAUUGUCGAUGAUCCCUACUUACAAUGGACUUUUCUGUGGCUUAUCCCCAGGGAUGUCACCAACAUGACUCGAAAUACAAUUGAUUAUAUCCGUGGAAAAUUUCUUAAUCCGGAUCAAAACCUGAAAAUCGCCGUUUAAAAGGAUUAACAUCAUCAACCGAUUUUACUGGGAUACCUAAUAUAUCUCUAAGGAUUCAACAUCCUUCAUUUUCUUUGACAUAGGAAAACUAAUUUGUCAAAAUGACAUUUGACGUGUGACAUUUCCUCCAUAAUAUGAUCAUUUCUUAUUUUUACACUCUUUGCUAUUAUGCAACAUGACCAAGUAACCUGGAAAUGAAAGGUACGUCGACACGCGUGCAGGAAUAAAAGAAGCUGUACCGCUAAGAAGAAGAAGAA